ensembl:lncRNA
GGCUCUCAGACCAGAACUUUGUGGACUCUAGCAAGUACUCCUCAGCCAGCUCCCUCCAAGGCCUGGCCUUCAGCUGAAUCACUCCCAGAAUGAUGGUCCCACCAAUGUAACCGGGGUGAUGUGUGUGUGCGUGCACAAAGCGUUUGUACUCUGUGAUCACCCUGUGUGUGUGUGUGUGUGUGUGUGUGUGUGUGUGUGUGUGUGUGUGUGUGUGUGUGUGUGUGUGUGUGUGUGUGUGUGUGUGUGUGUGUGUGUGUGUGCCUGUGUGUGAGAGAGGGAGACGAAGCACACUGGUGACGAGGUUCAGCGUGUGUGUGACAUGUGUGUCAGGCCGGUUCGGGGGUCCCUAGUAGCGAUCCCCAACCUUGGGAUCCGCUCCAGCUCAGAACCGCUCCAGCUCAGAACCGCUCCAGCUCAGAACCGCUCCAGCUCAGAACCGCUCCAGCUCAGGCUCUUUGUACCAGGAACACCGACGUCACGCUUCUGGGAACCACAGGACAACAGAACUCAUGAUUGUUUGCCACAAAAAAAACUCUUUGGACUUUCUAUACAUCAAUGCUUUUAUAGGAGAACGGCCACGCCUACAUUACCCACAAUACACCACCGUCAAUGUACAAAGGAAGGCUUUAUUUGAGAGACAAUGUACUUUUUUUGUUUUGUUUUCGGAGAAUAUGAUCCUGUGAUAUUCAUCCUUCUCAAUGUAACCAUUAGUGGUUUUCUAUGUGAUGAUAAAUGAGGGAGGAGGACGAUGUGAAUGAUAACACACCAGGCCCAACCGUGACACGCUGCUGAGGAAGGGACCAUGAAGCGACGCGUGACCGCACUCCACCCAUGGGACUCUGAACACACGGGCCUCAGAUGGUCCCCUGGCCCUGCCAAACCCUCCCUGCACGGCAGGGACAGUGAACCACAGCACCAUGCACUGGGGCACAGUGUGUCAUGUUGUGUAGUCAGUGUUGUCCAAGCCAUUGUUCAAGUCGGAUUUAUAUAUAAUAAGCCUAGAUGUUCUUGACAUUCAAUGGUUGAGACUGAAGCCUGCCAAAUUCCUCCCAUAGUGUUUCUCAAUAAGAAAAUAUUCCUCCCCAGAACGGUUGAAAUGUUGAGGUUAUUUAAAGACAUGCCAUUCGACAGAGUACUCCGCUCCCCCCAAACUGAAGCUGUUAGAUACUAAUGUUGUCGCCUGAGUCCCUUCCCAUUCGUCCCCUUUCUGAGUGGAAGAACCAUAGCAAUGAAGGAAGCGGUCGACUCUAAAGGGUCUCAGGCGUACAUCCUAAAGAGAGUCUUUCUAGGAUUUGAACCCGCCUCUCUGCCACCACACCCAGCCUGGUUUGUUGUACAAAGUCUGGUGGAUCCCAGUAAGAAAGGCCUGAAGACCUGGUUCUGCUGUCUUUAGGUUGCUGGGUGCAUGAAGUGUGUGUCCACGCUCCACGUCUUCUUGACUCUGAAAUCCAUAUUUUUUUUUUUUUGCAGUGAUGCUUUUGUUUUUGUUUGUGUGUCUGUUUGUUUUUCAUGAAACUGUUAGCAGUUAGCCAAUCCGAUUGUUUCCUUUGUACCGCAAACUAGCCAAUGGUGUGUCUUAAAAGCUACGCUGCAAACAUAUUCAGAAAUGUCACAAUCCACUUGGUCUUAAGAGGGAAACGCAAAGAUGAGAAUCAUUUUACUCAACUUUGAUGUCAUAAUCGUUAAUUAUUACCAGAAUCACUAUUUCAUAAUUGUCUAUCAAAACUCUUCUCCUGUGUUAUAAAGGAAGACGAGUUUGAUCUGUUGCAAGAGCAAAUAUUUGCGGCGUAGGGUUAUUAGCCAAUGGUGUGUCUUAAAAUAUGUCUUAAUAUUGAGUUAAAUUCCUUUAAAUCCAUUUGUCUUGAAAGUCGGAAGUAGCCAAGUAGCCAACAGUUGUAAAGUAAAUGCUCCGCCCUGAAUCAUCUAGCGCUUCCUGUCUGACUUCCUGUCUGACCGUCAGUCUUCAUUAUGAACUUUGCUUUGCCAAAACUAGCUUAAGAUUUGAUUGCCAAACACCAACCCACUGUAGUUGUUGUUGUAUUUGAUUUUGAUAUUUUGCAUUUUUCAUGUGUGUUAUAAAUGUGUGCUGGAAGAUGAACUUCAUUUAGUGAGCUAAAACAUUAAAAACAUGAGAUUUUUGAAUUUGACCUACUGGAGUGUCAGUGCCAGCUCCUUGACUCCGCCUUUGAGCGUAAAGUAGACGUCAAUGGCUCCCAGCCCUGCUCAUGCUGUGGCCCAGGAUCAGCCAUUAUUAACCUUGUUAACAAUGUGAGACCCUUCUCAUCUCUCUCUAGAUAUUGUCUACAUCCAUAAGGUGUUCCUCUUAUUCCUCCAUACCCCUGCCUUCAAAACAUACUCAUGACUUAUUUAGACUGACAAGACAGUAUGUUUCUUUGGAGGAAAACAAGGUUUGAUAAAGAGGUUGUUUGUAGCUUUGAGCCAGAGGGUCCCAGACCCCUCCAUGGGAAACCCCUGACAUCCACAAGCUCUCUAACACACUGCAGCUUUAGGGGAUUCGAAAUGCAAUUGAUAGAAGCCAGAAAGGAAAUCAGAUAUAUUGUCACAACAUACACUGAUGCCUUACCGUACAACUAAAAGCUAAUUGGAGAAUGUGAAAUGUUUUCCCUAACCUCUAAUAUGAAGUCAUGCAACUUUUAUGAAUGAACCAACUUGUCACAUGAUAAAUCAUCCAGUCAUAAAGAGUGAUCAAACAAUGAAAUGGAACUUUCCGGAACAGCCCCUUCUAUUAUAGUGCUAAUUGUUGCAAUUUGUGUCUACGUUUAUGAUUGGCCAAAAUUGGUGUUGAGUGAUAUCAGAAGGUAAAACGUCAAAUCAAUCAAAAUGAAGCACAUGACCAGUGUCUGGUUGACCCUGUGGUUUGUGGAGCACAGAUGAUCUAACAGGCAGGGAAGAACACUUCUUGAACCAUUUUUCUUGUGUGCGGACACAACUGUUGAACAACCACAAUGUUGAACUUGAUGGUCUCUCCUGUGCUUUUUGUAUUCAUGGGGAAAGAGAGAGAAAAGUCGACGAUAACUUAUUCUAUCAACCAAGAUGCAGUUACCUGAUUUUAAGUUCAAACAUUUUAGGUUUUAUUUCUCCUCUCCAUUGUCUGUGUCAUUGCUGCAAAGGGGAUCUUUAUCCUGAUUGUUCUGAUCAAAAUGCUUUUCCUUCAAUGGCACUCCAUCACUCUCCCUCUCACCCUCUCUCUCUCUCUCUCUCUCUCUCUCUCUCUCUCUCUCUCUCUCUCUCUCUCUCUCUCUCUCUCUCUCUCUCUCUCUCUCUCUCUCUCUCUCUCUCUCUCUCUCUCUCUCUCUCUCUCUCUCUCUCUCUCCCUCUCUCUCUCUCUCUCUCUCUCUCCCUCUCUCCUUGCUUCCCCAAUAACCUGACUCUUCAUUCUCGGAUCCCCUGUAUAUCAAGUGCUACUAAUACUCGAUGCAUCUGAGAUUGACUUGUUCCUCUGUGAUUUAACCUCUCUAAUGCCUUCCUUUGUAGAACUGCCCUGUCUAUUUAUUGAAUCUAAAGAGGCGGGUCUGGAGACCACUUUUUGGUGUGUUUGAGUGUGAAUGCGUGCAUGUUUUGUAGGCGUCUGUGUGAUGAACGCGGCCCCCAUUCAUCAUGAUGUUCCCCUGGAAGAGGAAUCUUUUUUUUGUAAAGGCUUGUCGAUAAAAGGAAUCGUGUUCUGAUGCACUUCAGUCCGACAUCAGGGAAUAGAGCUGUAUCCGGUUACAAUGUCUACACGACGCACAGCAGGAGACCGCCUUGCACCCAUCGCACACACACACACACACACACACACACACACACACACACACACACACACACACACACACACACACACACACACACACACACACACACACCUACACACACACACAUACAUACACACACACACACACACACACACACACACACACACACACACACACACACACACACACACACACACACACACACACACACACACACACACACACACACACACACACACACACACACACACAAACGUACCGAGUACAGAGGAUACUACUGUAAAGAUGAUAAUAUUAAUUUUCUUUUAUUAGUAUUUUAAAGUGUGAAGUUUUGCCUCUCACUAUAUUUAAAUAAAGUUAUUUCUUGUCUG